rnacentral:rRNA from 1 species
GUAUGGNGCAAGCGUUAUCCGGAUUUACUGGGUGUAAAGGGNGCGUAGANGGNUNGNCAAGUCUGAUGUGAAAGGCUGGGGCUUAACCCCUGGACUGCUUUNGAAACUGNNGUNCUUGAGUGCCGGAGAGGNAAGCGGAAUUCCUAGUGUAGCGGUGAAAUGCGUAGAUAUUAGGAGGAACACCAGUGGCGAAGGCGGCUUACUGGACUGNAACUGACNUUGAGGCUCAAAAGCGUGGGGAGCAAACAGGAUUAGAUACCCUGGUAGUCCACGCCGUAAANGAUGAAUGCUAGGUGUCAGUGGAGUCACAGACUCUUUGGUGCCGCCGCNAACGCAUUAAGUAUUCCACCUGGGGAGU